ACAAAGUAGUUUGCAGUCACCCAAGGCCUUUCCCCAGGACAAAGUAAACUCUUUUGUUCUCUAUCAACAUAAAAGAAAGGGGAUUUAACCAUCUUGACAUAAUAAUGAAAAAUGCACUGGUCUAUUAUAAUGAUGGAAUUUGGUUAAUUUGGCUUGAGAGUAAGAAGUAAAUACUUUGGAUGUCCUCUCCUGAUACGAUGUAUGUAAACAAGACAGUGAGAGAUCAUCUGUACAGAUUUUCAUAGAUCUGCCACAUCAAAAGUUUUAAGGGAUCAAUUUUUCUUGCAUAUGCUUGGGCAUGUCUGUCCUCCAGUUUGAAUUAAAAGUUAAUACACGCUGUACUUCUUAUCAAAACAAAGGAGCAUAGAACUUGAUAGGCUGCUUUAGAAUGUGGAAACAGCAAAUGUCACAUUUAAAGUACUGCCUGGAUUUUGGAAGGCUGGCAGUUUUAAGUGGAACCUAUAGAAAGAGAGGAUAAUGCUCUAGGUUUAGCCUGAAGUUCAGUUAGCUCUAACUUGUGGGUCAUGUGACCUGGUCGAAGCCGUAUAGUGUUAUCUGUGUCAUAAGGAUGAUGCAUGGAGUCUCUGACAAUCCUCAAUAAAGAAAUCAUAGCAUAAAACCCUAGGUUAUGCUAUCUUCAAAAGAAAACUUUUUAUAAUUUAAAAAGCAGCUUCCAGAAUACUGCUGAUACCUCAUGGAGAUUGAAUGCCUGACUGUAGGAUGUCCUGUGAUGAUUAAUAUUUUGUCAACUUGACAAUACAGUAGUGCCCAGAUAUCUCAUCAAACAUUAUUCUGAUGCUUCUAUGAAGAUGUUUUCUGAAUGAGAUUAACACUUAAAUUGGUGGACUUUGAGUAAAGUUGAUCAUCCUCUAUAAUGAGGGUGAGCCCCAUCUGAUCAGUUGAAAGUCUUAAUAGAACAGGCUGACCUCCCCUGAGAAAGAGAAGAUGCUGCCAGAAGAUUAUUUUCAGACUUUGAACUGCAACUCUUCCCACGAUCUCCAGUCUGCCAGCCUACCUUGAAAAUUUUGGAUUUACCAAGCCUCCACAAUCGUGUUACUAGUUUCUGAAAUAAUAAUCUCUCUCUCUCUUUCUCUCUUUCUCCUUUCUCCCUCUCUCUCUGUUCUGUUGCUCUGGAGAACUCUGAUCAAUA
rnacentral:lncRNA from 1 species